rnacentral:lncRNA from 1 species
UGGGCCCCAGCAGAGGGCGAGUGGCAGGAGGACACUUGAGUGGAUUCUGCAAAAAGCCACACAGCUUUCCUCUGAUGGAUCAAAAUGAAAGAACGUCGGUCCUGGCAGUCUUUCAGCCACAAAGCUUUGAGAAAUGGGGCUAAAUAUUAAUAAUAACUGCUUGGAUUAUAAUGAGGAAUCAAUCAAAACACAUACUGUUGAUGAAGAUGCCUUGAACACCGUGGAUGCUGUAGAAUAAGGGAUUAUGACUACAGCAAUUCUUGGCUCCCUUCUCUGUUUGUUUAAGGGUUACACAGGCUUUGUUUAAUAUCUCCGUGUCUCAGUCCUUUCGGUUGAAGCACAAGGCAUGCUUCAGCCACCUGAGAUUAACUGCUAAACCCUGCAGCAAGCCAGCAUCUCCUCCCUGCUGCCUCUCAUCCGUCAGGAUCUGCUCUGGAAAUGGGCCAGUGGUGACGUGUGGGAAUGCAGCCCUUUGUGUUUGUUUUUGGUGUUGGAUUUGGUGGCCUUGGUCACGGAUUGGCUUCCUUCUUUGAAACUGAACAUCUUCCAUGCCUUUGUGAUUGAGUGACAAAAGUUCAACCUGCACAUGCCAAAAUGAACAGCCUAGAAAACUGAUUAUGGUUUCAGGACCAGCUUUAAAAAAAAGCAACAAAACCCUUCCAGUCACCCAGAGUUCUAAACAUAAUCGGUUGGUUCCCAGAAGUACAAUAAAAGGAAGCCAGAA